UCCGAAGUAGCUCAGUUGGUAGAGCAGCGCCCUGUUAAGGCGCGGGUCCCUGGUUCGAGUCCAGGCUGCGGAGCCA
rnacentral:tRNA from 1 species